CAAUAGCGUAUAUUAAAGUUGUUGCAGUUAAAAAGCUCGUAGUUGAAUUUCUAAUUAGUUAAUUUGGAGUCUAUCCACUUUAGCUAGUUAUUCGACACUGAACCGUGACGGUUAUUAAGUUAACCCCACGGAGAAUUGUCAUUUUACUUUGAAAAAUUAGAGUGUUUCAGGCAGGCAAUUGCCCGAAUAUCUUAGCAUGGAAUAAUGGAAUAGGACUUUGGUUCAUUUUAUUGGUUAUUGAAUCAGAGUAAUGAUUAAUAGGGACAGUUGGGGGCAUUAGUAUUUAAUUGUCAGAGGUGAAAUUCUUGGAUUUAUUAAAGACUAACUUAUGCGAAAGCAUUUGCCAAGGAUGUUUUCAUUAAUCAAGAACGAAAGUUAGGGGAUCAAAGACGAUCAGAUACCAU
rnacentral:rRNA from 1 species